ensembl:lncRNA
AAGAAAGAAAGAAAGAAAGAAAGAAAGAAAGAAAGAAAGAAUUGUGGAGUUGGGUAAGAGAAAGGAAGAAAGAAAGAAAGAAAGAAAGAAGAAAGAAAGAAUUGUGGAGUUUUUAACAGAAAGAACGAAAAAGAUGUUUUGCGAAAAGAAAGAAAGAAAGAAAGAAAGAAAGAAGAAAAGAAUUGUGGAGAUUUUAACAGAAAGAAAUAAAGAACGAAAAGAAGAAAGAAAGAAAGAAUUGUGGAGUUGGUGACAGAAAGAAAGAAAGAAAGAAAAAAAGAAAGAAAGAACUAAAGAGAAAGAAUUGUGGAGUUGGUAACAGAAAGAAAGAAAGAAAGAAAGAAAGAAAGAAAGAAAGAAAGAGAAAGAAUUAGGAAGAACUGUGGAGUUGGUAACAGAAAGAAAGUUUGCUGAUAACAAGCUGCUACUGCAGAGCAAGACACGCCCCUUGGGGCGGGACAUAUACCUUCCAGAGAGCAUUUAAUUGGAUGAAUUCACAACACAUCCUGAGUCACCAAGAGAUUUUAGUGAUUGUGAGAUUUUUGAAAUAAUCAGCCGGUGGAUUCCGGUGUCAAUGUUUCCGCAGGUUUACAGUUCUCCUGAAAACCAGCAGCUCACGUGUCUCGCGUGUAUCCCCGUGAACACUCCUGACGCUCCGCGAUAAUAAUAAAUAAUAACAACGACUCCGUCGGUAACGUUCGCGACAACACAAUCAGCAUGUGUAUCAACAG